rnacentral:rRNA from 1 species
AGCGAACGCUGGCGGCAGGCUUAACACAUGCAAGUCGAGCGGACCUUUCGGGGUCAGCGGCGGGCGGGUGAGUAACGCGUGGGAACGUGCCUUCCGGUUCGGAAUAACCCUGGGAAACUAGGGCUAAUACCGGAUACGCCCUUAUGGGGAAAGGUUUACUGCCGGAAGAUCGGCCCGCGUCUGAUUAGCUAGUUGGUGGGGUAACGGCCUACCAAGGCGACGAUCAGUAGCUGGUCUGAGAGGAUGAUCAGCCACACUGGGACUGAGACACGGCCCAGACUCCUACGGGAGGCAGCAGUGGGGAAUAUUGGACAAUGGGCGCAAGCCUGAUCCAGCCAUGCCGCGUGAGUGAUGAAGGCCUUAGGGUUGUAAAGCUCUUUUAUCCGGGACGAUAAUGACGGUACCGGAGGAAUAAGCCCCGGCUAACUUCGUG